rnacentral:rRNA from 1 species
UNGGAAUUACUGGGCGUAAAGCGAGCGCAGACGGUUUAUUAAGCAAGAUGUGAANUCCCCGAGCUUAACUUGGGAACUGCGUUUUGAACUGNUAAGCUAGAGUAUGUCAGAGGGGGGUAGAAUUCCACGUGUAGCAGUGAAAUGCGUAGAGAUGUGGAGGAAUACCGAUGGCGAAGGCAGCCCCCUGGGAUAAUACUGACGUUCAUGCUCGAAAGCGUGGGUAGCAAACAGGAUUAGAUACCCUGGUAGUCCACGCCCUAAACGAUGUCAAUUAGCUGUUGGGCAACAUGAUUGCUUAGUAGCGUAGCUAACGCGUGAAAUUGACCGCCUGGGGAGUACGGUCGCAAGAUUAAAACUCAAAGGAAUUGACGGGGACCCGCACAAGCGGUGGAUGAUGUGGAUUAAUUCGAUGCAACGCGAAGAACCUUACCUGGUCUUGACAUGUACGGAAUCUUCCAGAGACGGAAGAGUGCCUUCGGGAGCCGUAACACAGGUGCUGCAUGGCUGUCGUCAGCUCGUGUCGUGAGAUGUUGGGUUAAGUCCCGCAACGAGCGCAACCCUUGUCAUUAGUUGCCACCAUUCAGUUGGGCACUCUAAUGAGACUGCCGGUGACAAACCGGAGGAAGGUGGGGAUGACGUCAAGUCCUCAUGGCCCUUAUGACCAGGGCUUCACACGUCAUACAAUGGUCGGUACAGAGGGUAGCCAAGCCGCGAGGUGGAGCCAAUCUCAGAAAACCGAUCGUAGUCCGGAUUGCACUCUGCAACUCGAGUGCAUGAAGUCGGAAUCGCUAGUAAUCGCAGGUCAGCAUACUGCGGUGAAUACGUUCCCGGGUCUUGUACACACCGCCCGUCACACCAUGGGAGUGGGGGAUACCAGAAGUAGGUAGGCUAACCGCAAGGAGGCCGC